AGCCGGGCUCUGCUGGGCCCCGGGAGCGGCUCUGCCGCGGCCCGCAAGGCCACAGAGGCUGCCGGGCACAGGAGGGGCCAGCACGGCCUGAAAUCCAUCACAGUGACCGCUUCGGCCACUGCCUGGGACCGUCUGCAGGACCAGACAAGAUAUGAAGCCUUUCACUACACAGAUGAGACCUUGAUCCUCUCUCCAGGGACAGAAAAGGACAGAAUGAUGAGACGUAGAAAGACAGCAUGAAGACACCAAGGUCAGUAAAGGAGUCAAGUCCCAAAUGUAAGGAGAAUGAGAAGAUGCCCUAAUAAUGGGGCUGAAAGUUGUUUUGGCAAGGCCAUGGAGAUGGACUAUGAUGUACUAAAAUAUCCCCUUUAAUUCAUGAGAAAGUAUGGGGGGAUGGAGUGUUCAAACUGUAGACUUCAGCAGAGGCAUCCAAAAUUAAGCAAAGCAGAUGUUGAAGGAGCUGUGAUCCCAUGAGAAGCUUGAACAGAGAGAGAUGAGAGUGAUGAAGACCCUUUGCUCCCAGGGAGAGAAGAAGAAAACCUCUGUUCCAAGAGAUGAAGAAGAUCAUAGAGAUAGAUGAGGAGAACCUUUGCCUUUGAACAGCACGUAGAAAACCAAUCAACAUACAGGUUUGGUGGUGAUGGGACAUCAGAGGAACACUCAGAUGCAUAGAAACAACUGCCAGCAAGAGCAGAAAUGUAAAAAAUAAAUGUGAUGAUGACAGUCUGCCUAGUUCACUAAUUCUGGAGCACAAUUCCUGAGGAGAUCUGGCAUUCCUGGCUUAAGCUUUGUAUUUGU